rnacentral:ribozyme from 1 species
AAAGAAGAUGGAGGAAGAGGAACAAUAAAUUGAGUAUAUCUUUGAUUGAACUUUAUUCAAUAAUAGUUUUCUUCUUUAUGAUUAUCUGUUUCCUUCUACCACUUUGUUCGAAAUAAUAACACCAAUUAAUACUCAGCAUGAAGAAUUGGAUGUGUAUUGAAAGAUGCAGAAAACCAACACUAUCCUGCAUUAUUGUGAUUUUUUUACCUUUC